rnacentral:rRNA from 1 species
AUUGAACGCUGGCGGCAGGCCUAACACAUGCAAGUCGAACGAGUGGCGGACGGGUGAGUAAUGUCUGGGAAACUGCCUGAUGGAGGGGGAUAACUACUGGAAACGGUAGCUAAUACCGCAUACCAUCGGAUGUGCCCAGAUGGGAUUAGCUAGUAGGGGGGGUAAAGGCUCACCUAGGCGCCGAUCCCUAGCUGGUCUGAGAGGAGUCCCAGCCAAACUGGAACGGAGACACGGUCCAGACUCCUACGGGUGGCAGCAGUGGUGAAUAUUGCACAAUGGGCGCAAGCCUGAUGCAGCCAUGCCGCGUGGAUGAAGAAGGCCUUCGGGUUGUAAAGUACUUUCAGCGGGGAGGCGUUACCCGCAGAAGAAGCACCGGCUAACUCCGUGCCAGCAGCCGCGGUAAUAC